rnacentral:sRNA from 1 species
CAGCCCCAAUUGAAUGCUGUCCUUUAUGAGAGUUGUCUCUGAGACAUCGUGGGUUUCAUCCCUUGGAGCAGGCCUUACAUCCAAUCAGAUAGUGGCUGGUUACUCUGGAGCGGGCCUUACAUCCAAUCAGAUAGUGGCUGGUUACCCCCACAAGUUCUGGACCACUCUUGCUCCAGUGCAGGUCACUGUUGUAGGUUGCAGGAUGUUUUUGAUGGCGUGGUAUUUACUGUUUUCCUUUGGAAGCCUACACAGUACAUUCUAGUGUCGUGAACACUAAUCUGCAGAGGUGAAGGCUCUAAGUAGCUACCCGCUAUUUCCUCCAUGUCCAGUGAGACGGUAGGUCCUGUUUUCAGCAAUAGGGCCCUGCCAUCAGCUCAUGGAGAGCUAUGAACAGCCGUUGUUUGUGGCUUCCCAUAGGGCCAGCCCUUUGGCCAACCACUCAAUUAGUCCUAGCUUGUUCUCGGAAUUGGAAGCUUCAUUUGGCCAUGAGAGAGUCCAGCAGGGGCUUUGUGUUUCCUGUUGCUUGAUGAUUCUGUUUAGAUCACCUUCCUAUGUGUCUGUUUUAGGAAGCUGAUACUGUAUUUGGGUUUCCAUAUGACCCUCAAAUGACCCCAAGUUAGCUGUCCUUCAUGUGUUCACUCUCUGCCACUUCUGAUCUGAGCCUCCGUUCCAUUCUCCGCACCCCAUUCGUCCAUAACUAUUCUACGUCCCCUUCUAGGGUAAUCGACCCUUCUUCCAGUCCCUGGUUCUGUACCUAAGCUCUGGUUAUACAGAUCCUCGUUUGCUUACCUCAGGUUUACAGCUGACAUCCACAUAAAGAAAGCGUUUAUUAGGAAUGUCCUGGUGGAAUCUUUAGGGUCAGGACUUACGUUGGGGUGUGAAGGGUCGUUGGAGAAUGAAGACUGCCUGCCUGAUUCCCUGGCCAGCACGGUCAGCAGGUUUCCAGGGAGAGCCUCCGGUGUCGGCAUCGAGCCGGAGAUCAUUAUUCUCAGCACAGAAGCUUCUGGAGUCUUUUGUUAUGGGCUCAGCCUAUUGAGUUUGUGGGGGAGGGGGGAGUCUUGAUUUUUUUGGUUGAAGAAGAUGGUUUGCUUCCCAGAAGCAGCUGUUCUGUAACGCAGCAGCACUGUGACCGUCCCUGCCGCUUGCUAUCUCCUAACCUGAGGACAGCUAAGUAGGUCUUGGUGUGGGAGGCUGCCUGGACACCCACACCUUCCUUCUCAGUACUGACAGCCUCUAUGAAAGGGCACCAGUCCACCAGGACCUCUCUUCCUCUCCCUUCCCAUCUAAGCCCAGCACCCUCUUAAGGAGAAGGAGAAGGUCUGGGUGAAGGUGUGUGAGAAGAAUUCUUGCCGUGCAAGUGGCUUUGUGUUGAACCAGUUCUUUGGUGCUGUGAAAGCAGGAGCACGUCUUGCAAGAGAUGAUUGGCAUUUUAAUAGCUCGUUAGGAAUCCUCUGCCAGGUUGGCCUGCUUUCCUUCUGGGGGACCAAAGGCGACCCCUACUGGCAGGAAGACGCUAUUACAUCCAGGAAACUAUCCCAGGAAUGCUUUCUCUUUGGAAAAGAAAGACUUUUAUGGGACUGUUUUCCCAACAUGUAUGUGUAAGCCACACCAACCUGGGUACCAACCCUCAUCCCAGCAGUUUCACCCUAACAGUUAUUUGUGUGUUCUCUGUGUGUGCACAUGCAUGUCUCUCUGUUUUUGCACUACAUGCAGACAGAUGUCCAAGGAAACCAGACAUUAGAGUACAUUAGAACCCACAUGGCUGGAGUUACAGGGGGUUGUGAUCUCCUCCAUGUAGCUGCUGGGAAUUAGACCCAGGCCCUCUGCAAGAGCAGUGAGCUCUCACCUGCUGAGCCUGCCCCCAAGAUGUUCCUUAUUGAUCUAUUUUCUUUUCUUUCUUU